rnacentral:lncRNA from 1 species
CUAAGCAUAGAAAGCAAUACUUUGAAAAUAGCUCUUUAUUGUUCAAGUACUUUCAAAGUGUAUUUUUAAACAUCUGGAGCUGUGAAACUGCACGGAUGAGAUUGGUCGUUACAGGAGGAGGCAGCGGAUGGCAAGCAGCUGUGGGAUCAACAACAUAACACCUGGUUUCUGACCUAAAGUGACUAAGAAACUGGAGAUCUCAUCACUGGCAGCCACAGUCCUGCAACAUGAUCUAUCCUCUGAUAUAUUUGUCUAAUGCUUUUUUUUAGGCCUCCUGUAGGCUCUAGCUUCAGAAAACAAGCCCUCUGAGUUCUUUCUUUCCUUGCAGAAAUUGGCAAAGAGAUAAGAAACAAAGUGUCUCCUAGACCUCAUGGAUUCCCUAUUUUUUCCUCGGUUUCUACUUAUAGCAUUCACACUUCCUGCUACAGGAGACUAACUGCAGCAAAAUGUUUUCAGUCUGCCAGAAGGAUCGCUUAUAAGAUCUUCAGAAGCAGUCAGGCUCUCAGCUGUGCCUCUACUCAUCUAAACCCUUCAGAUGGGCACUACUGACACCUACCUCUGCCACUGAACCCAGUGGGUGCCUUGACUGAUGAAAAAACUCCUAAUGGAAUUCACUGUCCACCAUGAAUGAAGUGAUUGGGGUUGCAGCUCAAGCGAGAAGACCUUGCAAAUAGGCACCUUGCUAGUAAGACCCGAUCUCCCACUUAUGACAUGUACUGAAUCAGGAUAAGUUAAAGGUCAGAGCCCUCAGACACAAUUUGGACUGCUUAGGUGUGUUUGCAACCUCUGUUGUGAUGUGAGCUUUGCCCUCUGUAUUAAAGGGGAUUUCCCUAAAUGUCAGGUUUGGGGUUGAUCUCUCUUACUGAAUAGCAACAGGAUAAUGCCACUGCAUUUAAGUGGUGAGGCUUGAUGAGCAGGGUAUAAACCUGACUCCCUAGACCACUGGUUCAUAAACCGUAGUAUGUUGGAGACUCUGUGCCCUACCUAACUGUUCAGCUAUCAAAAAUGAGGAAACUAACACAAAAUGAGGAAACUCAAAAUACUUGGUAGGGCACUGACAUGAAAUCCUAUACUCAUAUCCCUGCUCUGAAUCAUGCUGGCCAUAUUUAGUAAACCUAGGACUCCUACUCCCCUAGUGAAUAAUCCAAACUGGAAGGCAAAUGCGUGUUUUUAGAAGUGGAGAUGGAGACAUUCUGGCUGCUAGCAGGGACCCUUAAUACCUGGGAAAGGACUCAACCUUUGCUUCAAGCAUGAUCCGUCUACAAAAGAUGGAUUAUUAAGGCAAACUGCUAGUAUGUGGAUGAUUCACUUGAUUUAUGAGGAAGAAAAUGGAUUAAAGGAGAUCUUUGAAAACUAAGUUUUGUGCAUCAGGUUGGACUAUGCAACAAAAGAUUAUUGAGAAAAAUAUUUCUCACCAAUGUAUUGUUAAGGAAACAUUGUGAUUUCAUAGGUAGAAUCCAUUUAAUCUUUUUGACUGCAGCCAAAAAUAUAAUCCUCCCUGGAUAAGAUGCUUAAGAGGUGCUGAGCAGUUUCAAAUCCUACAACUAUU